rnacentral:rRNA from 1 species
GAUGAACGCCGGCGGCGUGCUUAACACAUGCAAGUCGAACGAAGCACUUUAUUUGAUUUCCUUCGGGACUGAUUAUUUUGUGACUGAGUGGCGGACGGGUGAGUAACGCGUGGGUAACCUGCCUUGUACAGGGGGAUAACAGUUGGAAACGGCUGCUAAUCCCGCAUAAGCGCACAGCAUCGCAUGAUGCAGUGUGAAAAACUCCGGUGGUAUAAGAUGGACCCGCGUUGGAUUAGCUAGUUGGUGAGGUAACGGCCCACCAAGGCGACGAUCCAUAGCCGACCUGAGAGGGUGACCGGCCACAUUGGGACUGGGACACGGCCCAAACUCCUACGGGAGGCAGCAGUGGGGAAUAUUGCACAAUGGGCGAAAGGCUGAUGCAGCGACGCCGCGUGAGCGAAGAAGUAUUUCGGUAUGUAAAGCUCUAUAAGCAGGGAAGAUGAUGACGGUACCUGACUAAGAAGCACCGGCUAAAUACGUG